rnacentral:rRNA from 1 species
UACGUAGGGUGCGAGCGUUGUCCGGAAUUAUUGGGCGUAAAGAGCUUGUAGGUGGUUUGUCGCGUCUGCUGUGAAAAUCCGAGGCUCAACCUCGGACUUGCAGUGGGUACGGGCAGACUAGAGUGUGGUAGGGGAGACUGGAAUUCCUGGUGUAGCGGUGGAAUGCGCAGAUAUCAGGAGGAACACCGAUGGCGAAGGCAGGUCUCUGGGC